AUGGGGGCAGCUACCAUGCAGUCGAACGGACUCCAUUCAGUAGCAAUACUGAGGAAGAGUUAGUGGCGAACGGGUGAGUAACACGUGAGAAACCUAUCCUGGUCUCUGGGAUAACAGUCGGAAACAACUGCUAAUACCGGAUGCCGUCGGAGCGUCGCAUGGCGCGCUGACGAAAGGGUUACUGGAUCAGGAGGGUCUCGCGGCCUAUCAGCUAGUUGGUGGGGUAAAGGCCUACCAAGGCAUCGACGGGUAGCUGGUCUGAGAGGAUGAUCAGCCACACUGGGACUGAGACACGGCCCAGACUCCUACGGGAGGCAGCAGUGGGGAAUCUUGCGCAAUGGGCGAAAGCCUGACGCAGCAACGCCGCGUGCGGGAAGAAGGCCUUCGGGUUGUAAACCGCUUUCAGAAGGAACGAAACUGACGGUACUUUCAGAAGAAGGUGCGGCCAACUACGUGCCAGCAGCCGCGGUGACACGUAGGCACCAAGCGUUGUCCGGAUUUAUUGGGCGUAAAGAGCUCGUAGGCGGUUCGGCAAGUCGGGUGUGAAAACUUUGGGCUCAACCCAAAGCGUGCACUCGAUACUGCCGUGACUAGAGUUCGGUAGGGGAGUGGGGAAUUCCUAGUGUAGCGGUGAAAUGCGCAGAUAUUAGGAGGAACACCGGUGGCGAAGGCGCCACUCUGGGCCGAAACUGACGCUGAGGAGCGAAAGCGUGGGUAGCAAACAGGAUUAGAUACCCUGGUAGUCCACGCCGUAAACGUUGGGCACUAGGUGUGGGUCUCAACCAACGAGAUCCGCGCCGUCGCAAACGCAUUAAGUGCCCCGCCUGGGGAGUACGGCCGCAAGGUUAAAACUCAAAGGAAUUGACGG
rnacentral:rRNA from 1 species